UACGUAGGUGGCAAGCGUUGUCCGGAUUUACUGGGCGUAAAGAGCGCGCAGGCGGUCGGAUAAGUCGCAUGUGAAAGCCCCCGGCUCAACUGGGGAGGGUCAUUCGAUACUGUUCGACUCGAAGGCAGGAGAGGGAAGUGGAAUUCCCGGUGUAGUGGUGAAAUGCGUAGAUAUCGGGAGGAACACCAGUGGCGAAGGCGACUUCCUGGCCUGUUCUUGACGCUGAGGCGCGAAAGCUAGGGGAGCAAACGGG
rnacentral:rRNA from 1 species